GACGAACGCUGGCGGCGUGCUUAACACAUGCAAGUCGAACGGAAAGGCCCUGCUUGCAGGGUACUCGAGUGGCGAACGGGUGAGUAACACGUGGGUGAUCUGCCCUGCACUUCGGGAUAAGCCUGGGAAACUGGGUCUAAUACCGGAUAGGAGCCAUUUUUAGUGUGAUGGUUGGAAAGUUUUUUCGGUGUAGGAUGAGCUCGCGGCCUAUCAGCUUGUUGGUGGGGUAAUGGCCUACCAAGGCGGCGACGGGUAGCCGGCCUGAGAGGGUGGACGGCCACAUUGGGACUGAGAUACGGCCCAGACUCCUACGGGAGGCAGCAGUGGGGAAUAUUGCGCAAUGGGCGCAAGCCUGAUGCAGCGACGCCGCGUGGGGGAUGACGGCCUUCGGGUUGUAAACUCCUUUCGCUAGGGACGAAGCUUUUGUGACGGUACCUAGAUAAGAAGCACCGGCUAACUACGUGCCAGCCGCCGCGGUAA
rnacentral:rRNA from 1 species